rnacentral:rRNA from 1 species
GGGCAUUACUGCACGACAGUGCGAUAGGGGGAUCCCAAGUGCACAGGCAUAGCGCCUGUGCUUUUCGGUACCCUAAGGCGGUACCAGAAUAAGGGCUGGGCAAGACCGGUGCCAGCCGCCGCGGUAAUACCGGCAGCCCAAGUGAUGGCCGAUCUUAUUGGGCCUAAAGCGUCCGUAGCUGGCCGCGCAAGUCCAUCGGGAAAUCCACCUGCUCAACAGGUGGGCGCCCGGUAGAAACUGCGUGGCUUGGGACCGGAAGGCGCGACGGGUACGUCCGGGGUAGGAGUGAAAUCCCGUAAUCCUGGACGGACCGCCGAUGGCGAAAGCACGUCGCGAGAACGGAUCCGACAGUGAGGGACGAAAGCCAGGGUCUCGAACCGGAUUAGAUACCCGGGUAGUCCUGGCCGUAAACAAUGUCUGCUAGGUGUGGCUCCCACUACGAGUGGGUGCUGUGCCGUAGGGAAGCCGCUAAGCAGACCGCCUGGGAAGUACGUCCGCAAGGAUGAAACUUAAAGGAAUUGGCGGGGGAGCACUACAACCGGAGGAGCCUGCGGUUUAAUUGGACUCAACGCCGGACAUCUCACCAGCAUCGACUGUAGUAAUGACGAUCAGGUUGAUGACCUUAUCCGAGCUUCAGAGAGGAGGUGCAUGGCCGCCGUCAGCUCGUACCGUGAGGCGUCCUGUUAAGUCAGGCAACGAGCGAGACCCGCACCCUUACUUGCCAGCAGUACCGCGAGGUAGCUGGGGACAGUAGGGGGACCGCCGUGGCUAACACGGAGGAAGGAACGGGCAACGGUAGGUCAGUAUGCCCCGAAUGUGCUGGGCAACACGCGGGCUACAAUGGUCGAGACAAAGGGUUCCAACUCCGAAAGGAGACGGUAAUCUCAGAAACUCGAUCGUAGUUCGGAUUGUGGGCUGCAACUCGCCCACAUGAAGCUGGAUUCGGUAGUAAUCGCGUGUCACAAGCGCGCGGUGAAUACGUCCCUGCUCUGACAAACUCCCCGCCCCCAAAAAAAAAUUUC